CAACAAAAAGAAAAUAUUUAACUGUGCCGGGCACAGUGGCUCACCCCUGUAAUCCCAGCAUUUUGGGAGGCUGAGGCAGGAGGAUCACCCGAGGUCAGGCAUUUGAGACCAGGCUGGCCAACAUUUGGGGCCAGAGAGGUAGCCUAAAUAGUGCUGGUCUACUUCAAGACAACAGAGUGGAGGGAUCAUGGCAAUCUGGUGAGAUUAUGCCAAAGGAAAACCAUGAGAAAAAUAAUGUGAAAACUUCAGUGCUCAACCCUCGAACCCAUCCCUCCAGAAGUAGCAGACCAACUUGCCCAGGUGGGUGGAAGAAAGGAAAAACUUGGCCAGAUAUGGACAGCACCGUCCUCAUGCCUCCCUUAGCCCAGUAACCCACCCAACCCACCCUGGUCCACUCCACCCCCGUCCACCCCACCCCACACACACUCAAAGAAGAGCCCGGGGCCUCAUUG